rnacentral:rRNA from 1 species
CACGUAGGGCGCAAGCGUUGUCCGGAAUUAUUGGCGUAAAGAGCUCGUAGGCGGUCUGUUGCGGUCCGCUGUGAAAACUCGGGCUUAACCCCGAGCCUGCAGUGGAUACGGGCAGACUAGAGGUAGGUAGGGGAGAAUGGAAUUCCGUGGUGUAGCGGUGAAAUGCGCAGAUAUCAGGAGGAACACCGGUGGCGAAGGCGGGUCUCUGGGCCGAUACUGACGUGAGGAGCGAAAGCGUGGGGAGCGAACAGG